rnacentral:rRNA from 1 species
UACGAAGGGGGCUAGCGUUGCUCGGAAUGACUGGGCGUAAAGGGCGCGUAGGCGGCUUGCACCGUCAGAUGUGAAAGCCCCGGGCUCAACCUGGGAACUGCAUUUGAAACUGGCGGGCUUGAGUGUGGCAGAGGGGGGUGGAAUUCCGCGUGUAGCAGUGAAAUGCGUAGAGAUGCGGAGGAACACCGAUGGCGAAGGCAGCCCCCUGGGCCAACACUGACGCUCAGGCACGAAAGCGUGGGGAGCAAACAGG